rnacentral:snRNA from 1 species
GGAUAUGAGGGUGAUCUGGCUGCGACAUCUGUUACCCCAUUGAUUGCCAGGGUUGAUAUGGCUGAUCUGGCUGGCUAGGCGGGUGUCCCCUUCCUCCCUCACUGCUCUAUGUGCAUCCCUCCCAAAGCUGCAUGCUCAGUUGAAGAGGACAGCCUUCCCCAAAUAGAGACGAUGGGUCUUCGGUUGAGGGUAUAUGAGUAGCUGCACUCCCCUGCUAGAACCUCCAAAUAAGCUCUCAAGGAAUAUUACUCUGAUUACUAUGAUCUGUGAAAAAGACAACAUAUUCAACAGUU